rnacentral:rRNA from 1 species
CAGAGGUUACUGCUAUSGAGAUUCGACUAAGCCAUGCGAGUUGAAUGUUCUUCGUGAACAUGGCGGACUGCUCAGUAACACGUGGACAACCUACCCUUGGGUCCGGCAUAAUCCUGGGAAACUGGGAAUAAUUCCGGAUAGGUCACCGAUGCUGGAAUGCGCGGUGGCCGAAAGCUCCGGCGCCCGAGGAUGGGUCUGCGGCCUAUCAGGGUUGUAGUGGGUGUAACGUACCUACUAGCCUACGACGGGUACGGGUUGUGAGAGCAAGAGCCCGGAGAUGGAUUCUGAGACACGAAUCCAGGCCCUACGGGGUGCAGCAGGCGCGAAAACUUUACAAUGCGGGAAACCGUGAUAAGGGGAUCUCGAGUGCCAGCAUAUAAUGUUGGCUGUCCAGAUGCCUAAAAAGCAUCUGUUAGCAAGGGCCGGGCAAGACCGGUGCCAGCCGCCGCGGUAACACCGGCGGCCCGAGUGGUAACCGCUAUUAUUGGGUCUAAAGGGUCUGUAGCCGGCCAGGUAAGUCCCUUGGGAAAUCUGGCAGCUCAACUGUCAGGCUGCUAGGGGAUACUGUUUGGCUUGGGACCGGGAGAGGUGAGAGGUACCUUGGGGGUAGGGGUGAAAUCUUGUGAUCCUCGAGGGACCACCAGUGGCGAAGGCGUCUCACCAGAACGGGUCCGACGGUAAGGGACGAAAGCUAGGGGCACGAACCGGAUUAGAUACCCGGGUAGUCCUAGCCGUAAACGAUGCUCGCUAGGUGUCAGUCACGGUGCGACCGUGAUUGGUGCCGUAGGGAAGCCGUGAAGCGAGCCACCUGGGAAGUAUGGCCGCAAGGCUGAAACUUAAAGGAAUUGGCGGGRGAGCACUACCAWCGGGYGGAGCCUGCGGUUUAAUUG